CUGUAAGCCUGUGAAGGUGGCCUGUGAGGGUUGCUGGAGGUAUCAGAAGUGCGAAUGCUGACAUAAGUAACGAUAAAGCGGGUGAAAAGCCCGCUCGCCGGAAGACCAAGGGUUCCUGUCCAACGUUAAUCGGGGCAGGGUGAGUCGACCCCUAAGGCGAGGCCGAAAGGCGUAGUCGAUGGGAAACGGGUUAAUAUUCCUGUACUUGGUGUUACUGCGAAGGGGGGACGGAGAAGGCUAUGUUGGCCGGGCGACGGUUGUCCCGGUUUAAGCGUGUAGGUGUGUGUUCCAGGUAAAUCCGGUUCACUUUAACACUGAGGCGUGAUGACGAGGCACUACGGUGCUGAAGCAACAAAUGCCCUGCUUCCAGGAAAAGCCUCUAAGCAUCAGGUAACAUCAAAUCGUACCCCAAACCGACACAGGUGGUCAGGUAGAGAAUACCAAGGCGCUUGAGAGAACUCGGGUGAAGGAACUAGGCAAAAUGGUGCCGUAACUUCGGGAGAAGGCACGCUGACAUGUAGGUGAAGUGAUUUACUCACGGAGCUGAAGUCAGUCGAAGAUACCAGCUGGCUGCAACUGUUUAUUAAAAACACAGCACUGUGCAAACACGAAAGUGGACGUAUACGGUGUGACGCCUGCCCGGUGCCGGAAGGUUAAUUGAUGGGGUCAGCGCAAGCGAAGCUCCUGAUCGAAGCCCCGGUAAACGGCGGCCGUAACUAUAACGGUCCUAAGGUAGCGAAAUUCCUUGUCGGGUAAGUUCCGACCUGCACGAAUGGCGUAAUGAUGGCCAGGCUGUCUCCACCCGAGACUCAGUGAAAUUGAACUCGCUGUGAAGAUGCAGUGUACCCGCGGCAAGACGGAAAGACCCCGUGAACCUUUACUAUAGCUUGACACUGAACAUUGAGCCUUGAUGUGUAGGAUAGGUGGGAGGCUUUGAAGUGUGGACGCCAGUCUGCAUGGAGCCGACCUUGAAAUACCACCCUUUAAUGUUUGAUGUUCUAACGUGGACCCGUAAUCCGGGUUGCGGACAGUGUCUGGUGGGUAGUUUGACUGGGGCGGUCUCCUCCUAAAGAGUAACGGAGGAGCACGAAGGUUGGCUAAUCCUGGUCGGACAUCAGGAGGUUAGUGCAAUGGCAUAAGCCAGCUUGACUGCGAGCGUGACGGCGCGAGCAGGUGCGAAAGCAGGUCAUAGUGAUCCGGUGGUUCUGAAUGGAAGGGCCAUCGCUCAACGGAUAAAAGGUACUCCGGGGAUAACAGGCUGAUACCGCCCAAGAGUUCAUAUCGACGGCGGUGUUUGGCACCUCGAUGUCGGCUCAUCACAUCCUGGGGCUGAAGUAGGUCCCAAGGGUAUGGCUGUUCGCCAUUUAAAGUGGUACGCGAGCUGGGUUUAGAACGUCGUGAGACAGUUCGGUCCCUAUCUGCCGUGGGCGCUGGAGAACUGAGGGGGGCUGCUCCUAGUACGAGAGGACCGGAGUGGACGCAUCACUGGUGUUCGGGUUGUCAUGCCAAUGGCACUGCCCGGUAGCUAAAUGCGGAAGAGAUAAGUGCUGAAAGCAUCUAAGCACGAAACUUGCCCCGAGAUGAGUUCUCCCUGAGACUUAAAGUCUCCUGAAGGAACGUUGAAGACGACGACGUUGAUAGGCCGGGUGUGUAAGCGCAGCGAUGCGUUGAGCUAACCGGUACUAAUGAACCGUGAGGCUUAACCUUACAACGCCGAAG
rnacentral:rRNA from 1 species